GUCUACGGCCAUACCUAGGCGAAAACACCAGUUUCCGUCCGAUCACUGCAAUUAAGCGUCUGAGGGCCUCGUUAGUACUAUGGUUAGAGACAACAUGGGAAUCCGGGGUGUUGUAGGCU
rfam:Schizosaccharomyces cryophilus OY26 unplaced genomic scaffold supercont4.3, whole genome shotgun sequence.